rnacentral:rRNA from 1 species
GANUGCGGNCUAUCAUGCAAGUCGAACGGGGAGUACUUACUUCGGUUUUUACUCCUAGUGGCGAACGGGUGAGUAACGCGUUGGUGACCUGCCCCGAAGAGGGGGACAACCCCGCGAAAGCGGGGCUAAUACCCCAUAGUGUCGUAGAGGUUAGAGGCUAUACGACUAAAGGAGCAAUCCACUUCGGGAGGGGCCUGCGUCCCAUCAGCUAGUUGGUAAGGUAACGGCCUACCAAGGCAAAGACGGGUAGGGGGCCUGAGAGGGUGGCCCCCCACACUGGCACUGAAACACGGGCCAGACACCUACGGGUGGCAGCAGUAGGGAAUAUUGCACAAUGGGCGAAAGCCUGAUGCAGCAACGCCGCGUGCGCGAAGAAGGCCUUCGGGUUGUAAAGCGCUUUUCUGGAGGAAGAGGAAGGACGGUACUCCAGGAAUAAGGAUCGGCUAACUACGUGCCAGCAGCCGCGGUAACACGUAGGAUCCGAGCGUUAUCCGAAUUUACUGGGCGUAAAGCGCGUGUAGGCGGCCGGGUAAGUUGGACGUGAAAGCUCCUGGCUCAACUAGGAGAGGUCGUUCAAAACUGCCUGGCUAGAGGGCGACAGAGGGAGGUGGAAUUCCCGGUGUAGUGGUGAAAUGCGUANAUAUCGGGAGGAACACCAGUGGCGAAAGCGGCCUCCUGGACCGUACCUGACGCUCAGACGCGAAAGCUAGGGGAGAGAACGGGAUUAGAAACCCCGGUAUUCCUAGCCGUAAACGAUGUCAACUAGGCGUAGGGGGUUAUUGACCCCUCCUGUGCUGUAGCUAACGCAUUAAGUUGACCGCCUGGGGACUACGGCCGCAAGGCUAAAACU